GCGGGCGUAGCUCAAUGGCAGAGUCCCAGGCUUCCAUCCUGGUGAUGCGGGUUCGAUCCCCGUCGCCCGCU
rnacentral:tRNA from 1 species